UAGUAACGGCGAGUGAAGCGGCAACAGCUCAAAUUUGAAAUCUGGCCUCCUUUGGGGGUCCGAGUUGUAAUUUGCAGAGGGUGCUUUGGCGUCGGCAGCGGUCUAAGUUCCUUGGAACAGGACAUCACAGAGGGUGAGAAUCCCGUACGUGGUCGCUCGCCUUCGCCGUGUAAAGCCCCUUCGACGAGUCGAGUUGUUUGGGAAUGCAGCUCUAAAUGGGAGGUAAAUUUCUUCUAAAGCUAAAUACCGGCCAGAGACCGAUAGCGCACAAGUAGAGUGAUCGAAAGAUGAAAAGCACUUUGGAAAGAGAGUCAAACAGCACGUGAAAUUGUUGAAAGGGAAGCGCUUGCAGCCAGACUUGCUCGCAGUUGCUCAUCCGGGUCCGCCCGGAGCACUCUUCUGCGAGCAGGCCAGCAUCAGUUUGGGCGACCGGAUAAAGGCCUCUGUCAUGUAUCUUCCUUCGGGAUGACCUUAUAGGGGAGGCGUAAUGCGGCCAGCCCGGACUGAGGUCCGCGCAUCUGCUAGGAUGCUGGCGUAAUGGCUGUAAGCGGCCCGUCUUGAAACACGGACCAAGGAGUCUAACAUCUAUGCGAGUGUUUGGGUGUCAAGCCCGGGCGCGUAAUGAAAGUGAACGGAGGUGGGAACCCUCUUCGGGGGGCGCACCAUCGACCGAUCCUGAUGUCUUCGGAUGGAUUUGAGUAAGAGCAUAGCUGUUGGGACCCGAAAGAUGGUGAACUAUGCUUGAAUAGGGUGAAGCCAGAGGAAACUCUGGUGGAGGCUCGCAGCGGUUCUGACGUGCAAAUCGAUCGUCAAAUUUGGGCAUAGGGGCGAAAGACUAAUCGAAC
rnacentral:rRNA from 1 species